GACGAACGCUGGCGGCGUGCUUAACACAUGCAAGUCGAACGGAAAGGCCCUGCUUUUGUGGGGUGCUCGAGUGGCGAACGGGUGAGUAACACGUGAGUAACCUGCCCUUGACUUUGGGAUAACUUCAGGAAACCGGGGCUAAUACCGGAUAGGAGCUCCUGCUGCAUGGUGGGGGUUGGAAAGUUUCGGCGGUUGGGGAUGGACUCGCGGCUUAUCAGCUUGUUGGUGGGGUAGUGGCUUACCAAGGCUUUGACGGGUAGCCGGCCUGAGAGGGUGACCGGCCACAUUGGGACUGAGAUACGGCCCAGACUCCUACGGGAGGCAGCAGUGGGGAAUAUUGCACAAUGGGCGGAAGCCUGAUGCAGCAACGCCGCGUGCGGGAUGACGGCCUUCGGGUUGUAAACCGCUUUCGCCUGUGACGAAGCGUGAGUGACGGUAAUGGGUAAAGAAGCGCCGGCUAACUACGUG
rnacentral:rRNA from 1 species